rnacentral:rRNA from 1 species
UACAGAGGUGGCAAGCGUUGUUCGGAUUUACUGGGCGUAAAGAGCGCGCAGGCGGUCGUUCAAGUCGAGUGUGAAAGCCCCCGGCUCAACUGGGGAGGGUCAUUCGAUACUGAUCGACUCGAAGGCAGGAGAGGGUAGUGGAAUUCCGGGUGUAGCGGUGAAAUGCGUAGAUAUCAGGAGGAACACCAAUUGCGAAGGCAGCUCGCUGGGACGUUACUGACGCUGAGACGCGAAAGCGUGGGGAGCAAACAGG